GUCAUGGCAGCCGCGUUACUGGUGCGCUGGGUACAGAGUCGGCCUGGCCGGGGAGGCUGAGACAGGACACACGGGGAAAAAGCCUCGGAAAGGCCGGGACCAGUGCGCUCCAGAGAGCGGCUCCCGGUUCUGGGAGCUGGGAGGGGUGGGGGUUGCCCUCACACCUCAAAAUAGCAGCACUCAAAACAGCACAGCCACCUCAGUGAGCACAGCGAGUGUCACAUCAGGGCAGGAGCACCGGUGUUGUUUUGAAAACAAGUCUGGUCCAGACUAUAACAAAGCAGAGCUGUAAUAUCCAAAGAUGGCAGCUAUUUUUGUGCUGGCAGCACAUAGGAAUCUGGCUUGGUCCGUCAGUAAAGUCAGCUGGUGCUCUCCUGCUGCAGCCCAGGAACGUGCUAACAGGCUGGAUGGAUGUUGGUGGUAUAUAUCCGAUCUGUCCCUUCCUUCCCUGAUAGCUGCAGGGGGAGGUGGACACCCCAGCUGAACCUCCCUGGGUGGGGAGUCAGAGCUUUUUGUGAACUUCAUCAGAGAAAAGGAUUCCAAUGCACCCAGCGCUGCGCAAGCACUUGAGAAGCCGACUUUGGCUUUGAGCUAGGCACAGCUAUGGCCAGCCUGAUCUGGAGUUGGCAGCAGUCCCACACCUGGAGACCUCCAGAGGUCCUUCCAGCCAGCACGUGCAGGACCUUGAUCUGGUAAGGAAAAACAAUAUCUAAUAAAUCUGAAAGCCAAAAUGGAGUUAGAGACUUUGAUGAACAACUUUAUGACAACCUUACAGGCUGACCGCAUUCAGUAGGACUUGCAUAUUUGUUUAUUGAUAGUUACAACACAAAAUCUGUGGCUAUUGUGGGACAGUAUGAUGAGAAUGCUAACAGACUGAUAUCCAACCGAACUGAAGUAGCAUCCUGCAAAAUAUGUUAAACCUUACUAUGAGUUAGAACAGUGCAGAACCCAGCGUCAGAGCUGCAAUCUCUGUCCUUGCAGCAGAGGGCAACAAAGAAACAGAAGAAACUAAAGGAAGAAGCUUGUGAAGAAGUUACAACAAAAUGCAAGUACUAUGAUGGCAGCAACAGGCCCCUCACUCUAAUUAACAAUUUCUUAGCCUAUUCAGUUAUCACCUCCUGCAACAGUGCAGUAACAAUGACACACACUGGGUAGGUGCUUCACGGAUGCCACCAGAAGGUCAAUUGCUGGAAAACAAGGAUUGGAUUACAUUUAAUCAAACGCAACAGUAUUUUGUUGAGACCCCUCCUGUAUGUAUUUAAAAGAAACUAAUUAACAGUUGCUUGUCAGAGAAAUUUCACUUGUUUCAUCAGUGAUUUGGCGUGGAGGGAUGGUUCAGAGCAAUUUGGAUUUUGUUUCCAUUCUAGGUCUUAACAUGCAAAAUAUUUAAGAUAACUACAGAAGAUGUUUUGAGUUUGUACUGGGCCCCCUGUAAAUUAGAUGCACUAGCAUAUCAGAAUGGUACAGAUUUACAUUAUUUGGAUUGGGAACUAAGUGGUGAAAAAACUUUCAAUGCAUUUGUUUUCCUUAUCAGGAUGACUAAUCAGCCUUCUGCCCCCUUUUGACUUCGGAGGCAAGAAGUGACUGCACCACAACUCCAAAAUAGCCUGUCAGAUGACUGUGAUCACAGGGUUGAUUGUGUGGCAGUUGCACAUUCCACUGAGAACUGUAGCCUUCAAUGGGGCAAUUGAUGGCUCUUUAGCACCUUUUCUGCCCCACUGUGCCUGUCCCAAACUACACGCCUAGGGUGUUACCAAGGUGCUGACAGUCACAUCCUCUCCUGCCUCGGGGCAGGGUGACUUCACCUCCACCAGCUGAUGGGACAGGAGGGGUGGGACCCUCAGUCGAUUGACAGGGUCCUUAACAAAGGAGGUGCCCAGAGUAGCUGCGAAGCUUCUGGAGUACGUUGUAAUGCCCACAGCCACAUCUGAUCAGACUAUAAAACAGGGUUCCCGACGAAGACGCCCUUUCAGUGGUCUUUUCAGAGCUGUGGGUCUGUGAACGGGAGCCCUUUCCUUAGGCAGGAACACUGUCUAAGGAGACUUCCCAGGAUUGAGAGCGCCUCACCUCCUCAUUUGAGUGAGCGAUUAUUUACUAGAUAUAUCCUUGAAUAAGCCCUUGCCUAAUCUAGGCGAGUGAUUAUUUAUUGUGAGUACCCUGAAGCGAGAGGCCUCUAGUUUUGUUUCUUGUGAGUGACUACAUGCACAUUGUGGAUCCUCAUUAUUUUUAUGUUGUUGUAUCCUCAUAUACCCUUAAGUUGUUGUAAUCUCCUCACCUGAUAUUCAAACCUGUAUUUUAUGUUAACUGCAUUGUGACUGGGAAUAUAUUCAAAAGAAUUUAUGUGUAACACUGUCGAAACGAAAUUAUAGUGUUCAUGAGUGGACUCAAGUGAAACAACAUCUCCAGAGAGCAUCCUCAGCUAAAGCAUAAGGCCUGGUUCAGGAUUUAGCCAGUGCCCUGCAAAACCAACUGCAUGAUUUGCAAGAAUUAAUGCUACUAACAUUAUCUAAUAACAUAAAGUGAUUACACCCAAAAACAUGGUUUUCACGCCUCAAUCUGCAUAUAUGGGUUUUUGUGGGAAUUGGAUGUGCUUGUGUAAUAUAUUUUAUUGUAGUCCUCCGAAUCGUCUGGAGGAUGAUACAGAAUGUGAAGAAUAGUAAAGCCAGAGUCCUUGCUGCACUCAUUGUGAACCCAAUGUUCAAAAACAAAAAGGGGGAGAUUGGACUAACAUCUUAAGAGCUAUUAGAAUAUGGAUCGAGUGGGUGGUUAGCAAGUGUGGGAAUUACAGGAUGGGCAUACCAUACCCAGCGUAAAAGGGGUGGUAUUUCCAGUGGUGUCUCAUCUGUGUUCGAGGAUGACGGUGGUGAUCAGCAGAGGUGGAAAACAUGGCAGCUGUCUUCCACCAGCAAUCUGCAGGCGAGGAGCUGGUCAGAAUCUCGCCUACCCUGUAUGGCGCCAGCACUUGCAAAUGGUUCAAUACCUGCCUGGGUUUGGGCUUCCUCACCAUGACUACCAUGGGUGGUGUGACCUUGGACUCACCCAUCAAAGUCUUUGUGCACCAGAGCAAGAUCUACACAAAGGGUUUCCACAGCUGGAAGGAUGAUGAAGCUGUGCAGUUUGCCUUCACAGAGUCACCCAAGGGCUUAGAGUGCAUUUGGGUGACUGGCCUAGGGGACGCUCACUGCAUCGAUAAGAAGAAACCCCAAAGAAAAGAUGAGUGCUACAACUGAGGUGAGUGGGGUCACCACGCCAAAGAAUGCAAGCUCCGGACAUAGCCCAAGAGAUGCCACUCCUGCCAGAGCACCACUCACGUGGUUUCCAGCUGCCCAAAAAAAGCUCAGCAGUGCAGCGGACAGCCACUGAGAGUCUGACUUUUGCAUUAUACAUUUGAUUUAACUCAAAUGUUUCAUUGAACUUUCAAAAUUUCUUUGUUCUAUGUGCAUGUGUUAUUACUCGCCUGUUGAGGGAGAGAGAUGGGUUUUCUCAUGCAGUUGUAACCUUCUUACCUGUGGUCAGGCCAUAUGUGAAUACUGUUUAGCCACUUAAUCUGUGUAACUAUCUUAGUCAACUUAAGUCCCCACGUUUUUGGUUAUGAUUUUCUCUUUGGUUCCCUAAUGACUUCUGAACUACUUAAGGAUUCAUGGCAGGGUGUGCCACGUGGUUGUGCCUGCCUUGCAUGGGGGAUGCCAUCAAAGAUGUGGCAGAGACAACCGAUCCGGAAGCAUAGCUAGAAGCUAGAUAAAAGAGGAAGAAACAGUAAAAAGAAUAGCAGCUUCAGGUUCUGAGGGAUCUGCUUUUGUAUGGAUUAAUAAUAAUGUUUGUGAUUGUUGCUAUAUUUUUAAUUGUGCCUUGUUUGAUAAAAUUGCUCGAAGACAUGGUAUCCAAAA